GACGAACGCUGGCGGCGUGCCUAAUACAUGCAAGUAGAACGCUAACGGAGGAGCUUGCUUCUCUGGAUGAGUUGCGAACGGGUGAGUAACGCGUAGGUAACCUGCCUUGUAGUUUGGGAUAACUUUUGGAAACGAUAGCUAAUACCGCAUAAUAUUGACUAUUGCAUGAUAGUCAGUUGAAAGUUGCAACUGCACCACUACCAGAUGGCGCUGCGUUGUAUUAUGUAGUUGGUGGGGUAACGGCUCACCAAGGCGACGAUACAUAGCCGGGCUGAGAGGGUGGACGGCCACACUGGGAAUGGGAACAGGGCCAGAAUCCCUAGGGAAGGAGCCGGAGGGAAACUUCGGCAAUGGGCGGAAGUCUGACCGCACAAAGCCGGGGGAGGGAAGAAGGGUUUCGGAUCGGAAAACUCUGUUUUAAGGGAAGAAAGAGCGUGAGAGUGGAACGCUCACGCUGUGACGGUAUCUUACCAGAAAGGAACGGCUAACUACGUG
rnacentral:rRNA from 1 species